AACGAACGCUGGCCGCAUGCCUAACACAUGCAAGUCGAACGAGAUCUUCGGGUAUAGUGGCGCACGGGUGCGUCACGCGUGGGAAUCUGCCCUCUGGUUCGGAAUAACAGUUGGAAACGACUGCUUAUACCGGAUGAUGACGAAAGUCCAAAGAUUUAUCGUCAGAGGAUGAGCCCGCGUAGGAUUAGCUAUUUGGUGUGGUAAAGGCGCACCAAGGCGACGAUCCUUAGCUGGUCUGAGAGGAGGAUCAGCCACACUGGGACUGAGACACGGCCCAGACUCCUACGGGAGGCAGCAGUGGGGAAUAUUGGACAAUGGGCGAAAGCCUGAUCCAGCAAUGCCGCGUGAGUGAUGAAGGCCUUAGGGUUGUAAAGCUCUUUUACCCGGGAUGAUAAUGACAGUGCCGUGAGAAUAAGCUCCGGCUAACUCCGUGCCAGCCGCCGCCGUAA
rnacentral:rRNA from 1 species